CUUUAAAGCAAACAAUUAAUUUCAGUAUCAGCCACUAGCCUCUGUCCUCAGUUUCUUCAGGAUUUCCUCUUGGCUGACAUCUGCAGUCACCUUGAUAACUUUUUCUCUGGAUUUGGAGCCCUAUGAUGCAAAAGAAACCAUCUCCAGGACUUUGGAUAAAUAGCGCAGCAGCUCGGCGUUGGCCUCUCCGUCUGUCGGAGGCGCGGCGAUGGCGACACCCACCGCCUCCUCGGACACAUCUGUCACAAAAACAACUGUUGUGGUGCAUGGACUCCUCAUAGAUAAGCGCUAUUUCUUUAUUCACAUAUUUAUGAUACUCAACCGGUGAUUGCGUUGUGUUUGGCCCCGGGUUUAGCAUGUAUUGCUAUUGCAAUUGUCCCGUCUUUAACUUUAGUUACAGGACCGGGAGGUGUCUCCGGUGGUUUGGGGUUGCUUUUGCUCUAAAAGGGAAAACAGUUUAAACGUGUUACAAGAUUAAUCUCUUUAAGAGACACUCAGAUGUAUGUACUAAGUUACAUAAAGACAAUACUUGACUCACAUUUAGGCUAACAGCCAUUUGUAAUCACAUUUUGGCUAUUAUUAUUAAACCGAGUAUGAUUCAUAUGCAUACAAAACACAUUCAUAUUCAUAUCUAUUGUAAUAUGUAAUGAGCCCUACCGUCUUGUCCUUUUUAGGCAUCGUAUUGUAUCGCGAGUAGCUGUGAAGUGUGAGUUUCUGCGUCAAAAGCGUCCGACUGCACAAUGCUGAGGGGUGUACGAGUGGAAAAGAAGAUAUUCGAACAAAAUUGAGAAUUUGGGAAUGCAUGAGCUAAAAGACAUAAGCAUUAUUGAACUAUCUUGAGUGACCAGCAUGAGUUUCUGUGAUAACAGCAGUUUGCACAGGCGCAUGACAACACAAGCAAA